GUCUUUAUUAAAGGGACUCUCCAGUGCCAGGAAAACAAUCCCGUUUUCCUGGCACUGCAGGUCCCCUCUCCCUUCCACCACCCAUCCCCGGUUGCUGAAGGGGUGAAAACCCCUUCAGUGACUUACCUGAGACCCCCGCCGAUGUCCCUCGGCGGUGGUUUUGGGUCGCCGCCGCUCCUCCUCUUCAUUACGUCAGGAGACUGAACCCGCAUGCGUAACAAUGCCGUGCAUGCGCAUUAGAGCUCUCCAUUGAUAAGCAUUGAAAAUGCUUUUCAAUGCUUUCCUAUGGG